AUGGUUCAUUUCAAGAACAGGUACAUGGUGAUGGAGGUCUUCAUCGACGCUAGCAGAGGAGAGGCUGAUCCUGUCAUCCUCACCCAGUUCAACAUAACCAAAGUGAUCAGAGACAGCAUCCAGCUCAAUUUUGGGGAAUGCGGCCUAGCUGCAUCUCUUGGAUCAUUGCAAGUGAAGUAUGUAAAUCCUGUGACGAAGCUUUGCGUAAUCCGAGUGUCGCGUGAAGAUCACCAGAAAGUGUGGGCUGCUAUCACAAUGGUGAGGAGCAUUGGGAAGAUCCCAGUGUCGUUCAACCUCUUGGAUGUGAGUGGAAGUAUCAGGGCCUGCAAGAAAGCAGCGCUGGAGUGCGAAGAAGCGAAGUUUGAGCAGUACAAGCUGGCUGCUGGUGACCGUAUGACGCAGGAGAUUAUCGAAUCCAUGCAGAGUUGCUUUGCCAAACUUAAAGGAUUAGAUAGUUAG
rnacentral:rRNA from 1 species